rnacentral:lncRNA from 1 species
GGACUUUGUAUGUCAUAAUAUAUCUUUCAAUCUUGUGAUUGCAGAGAUCAAGGGGAACGUAGGGUCAGCAGCUGACCUUCAUUCUGGAACUGCUCUGGUGAAACCACAUUCACCUCGAUCAAUUGGUGCCUAUGGGAAAAGUUCAACAUCUCUUUUAGGAUUCUCCAGAUGAAUCUGACAGGAAGAACUGGAAGAUCUCAGUCACAAGUCAAUGCUCAGCGCAGAACAACAGGUGCAGGAGCUCAACUUACAGACCUGCAGCUUCUGCUGUCUGAGACGCACUCAAAUACUUGAUGUUUUUUUUUGUAUUAAGCAUUAAGUUGAUAUUUUAACGUGGAUUGGGUUAUUUGUGCUGUAUUUUUUAAUAAAAAGAAUAGUUUUAAUUAGUGUUGGGCAAGAAUGCAUUUUUUAUAUAAUAUAUGUUAUCUUUCAUCUGAAACAACAAUGUGAACUUUGGACAUUAACUUUUAAACGCAUAAUUAUCCAAAGUUUGGUGAGGAACGGUUUCAGGAAUCAGGUAAGAC